rnacentral:rRNA from 1 species
AGCGAACGCUGGCGGCAGGCUUAACACAUGCAAGUCGAGCGGGCCCUUCGGGGUCAUCGGCAGACGGGUGAGUAACACGUGGGAACGUACCCUUUGGUUCGGAAUAACGCGGGGAAACUAGCGCUAAUACCGGAUACGCCCUUUUGGGGAAAGGCUUGCUGCCGAAGGAUCGGCCCGCGUCUGAUUAGCUAGUUGGUGGGGUAAUGGCCUACCAAGGCGACGAUCAGUAGCUGGUCUGAGAGGAUGAUCAGCCACACUGGGACUGAGACACGGCCCAGACUCCUACGGGAGGCAGCAGUGGGGAAUAUUGGACAAUGGGCGCAAGCCUGAUCCAGCCAUGCCGCGUGAGUGAUGAAGGCCUUAGGGUUGUAAAGCUCUUUUGUCCGGGACGAUAAUGACGGUACCGGAAGAAUAAGCCCCGGCUAACUUCGUG